AACCAAUUCUCUGGGUAAAUACAGAACUGAGGCUCACGACUUCCCAAAUUCACAGGAUAGCUGGAAAGGCAGUGCGGGGCUGAGAUGCCAGGUCUCCCUGGUGGGACAUCUCACUGCCCACGUUUCUGCAGGGAGUUAUUUUUCCAUCGGAGUGCUGUUUUGCAUGGAAGUGUUUGGAGAACUAGUCACCUGCCCCCCUGCCACACACACCUUAGGCGAUCACUUCAGAACUGGGUACGUGACCCACUUUGGACCAGAGUCCUUUCCUAGGCAUUUGGAACUGGGCCUGAGAAGGAGAAAGCCUCCCACUCACUUAAGGCACUGGCUAAGCUCUGGGGACGUAAUGAUAAAUGAAACCAGAAUAAAGCUCUGCCCUUGUAGAGGGUACAGUCUGGUGGAGAAGACUGGAGCUACUGAAGCCACCCAUGACAAAGGAAAAAUUUUACUCUCAUGAUUCUGGGAAGGAGAGGGACAUGGUAGUCUUAGUCCAUAGUAUGGGAGCGAAAAGGCAAAAAUCCUGAUAUGUCUAAAGUAUGUGACAUAAGGGCCAGAGAAUAAGGGAGAGAGAUAAGGGAAGAUCAUCAGUCAAUAGCUUCAGGCCACAGCUCACCAGAAUCUCCACGUUCCUAGGUGAACUCAUUCCAACAGACAUCUAGAAGGUCCCUUGGACCACAGCAUCCCCUGAGUGGGUGACCACUAUCUGACCAUCACCAACAACCCAUCCAUGAGCCUUUUCUAUGGACUCAACACCUAUCCCAGGACUCUCCCCGAUUCAUGUUGGCUCGACUCCCUGAUCUGUAGCCCAUGUGAAUUUAACAAAAUUCCUUUCCUUGAGAUCCCUCAUAAUGUGCCCAGUUUCUUGAGUCUAGUGGACAAGUUGCUUCUGUUUACUGGCCUUUCUGCUAGUAAAGCAGAAACUUCUUGUCCCAGGACUCAGUCCUUACCUGGGUGAAUCUGUAAAGGCUCAACAAACCCUCUUAUUGCAGAGCUCUCUCAGCCUCUAGAGUUUCUGAUCUGUCAGGAGCCAUAACAGAGGACUGACCCUAGCAGUGGAGUCAGCAGUUUUCCCUGAGAAGUGAGCACCGGUCUGACCCAAAUAUGCACACGCAGGCUGGUGUCUCUGCCUGAAUGGCUUCUCCCUCUCCUAGUCAUCUCCCAUGAAACCCUCGAAGUGACCUAUUCCUCCUUUAAGCCCCUUGGGAAAAUGUUCUGACCUGCCUUACUGGUUGAGUACUUGUUCUGCUCACCCCCACUCCUUCCAGAAAGCAUGGAAUGUCUCAUCCUCCCAUUAAAUAUGUAGCAUCCUAGAUGGUUCUCUUGCACUUAGCAAACAUUCAACACUUUAAACUAUAUUUUAUAGAUGUUUAC